rnacentral:rRNA from 1 species
GUGGGGAAUUUUGGACAAUGGGCGCAAGCCUGAUCCAGCAAUGCCGCGUGUGUGAAGAAGGCCUUCGGGUUGUAAAGCACUUUUGGUAGGAAAGAAAUAGCGCGUGCUAAUACCAUGCGCGAAUGACGGUACCUGCAGAAUAAGCACCGGCUAACUACGUGCAAGCAGCCGCGGUAAGACGUAGGGUGCAAGCGUUAAUCGGAAUUACUGGGCGUAAAGCGUGCGCAGGCGGUUUUGUAAGACAGGUGUGAAAUCCCCGGGCGCAACCUGGGAACGGCACUGGUGACUGCAAGGCUAGAGUGUGUCAGGGGGAGGUUGAAUUCCGCGUGUAGCAGUGAAAUGCGUAGAGAUGCGGAGGAACACCGAUGGCGAAGGCAGCCUCCUGGGAUAACACUGACGCUCAGGCACGAAAGCGUGGGGAGCAAACAGGAUUAGAUCCCUUGUAGUCC